GUCUAUGGCCAAGCCACCCUGAACAAGCCCGAUCCCAUCUGAUCUUGGAAGCUAAGCAGAGUCGGGCCUGGUUAGUACUUGGAUGGGAGACCACUUGGGAAGAUCAGGUGCUGUAGGCA
rnacentral:rRNA from 1 species